UGCCAAAUUUUGCUCUGGAAUCACAGGGUGCCAACAUCCUUCACCAUCUUACCUCACAAACAUAUCACAACCAGCCACCACUUGUGACAUUUUGGGGAAUACCUUUGUGGUAUCCAUCUGCAAACCCCCGUACUAUCAUCCAGGCACAAUCCUCACCUUUGACUCCCGGUCAUUGUUGGGCCUUUGCAGGAAGACAGGGAC